CCGCCUGCCCUGUGACUAUAAGUUUAACGGCCGCGGUAUUUUGACCGUGCAAAGGUAGCGCAAUCACUUGUCUUUUAAAUGAAGACCUGUAUGAAUGGCACAACGAGGGCUUAACUGUCUCCUUUUUCCAGUCAAUGAAAUUGAUCCCCCCGUGCAGAAGCGGGGAUGCCCACAUAAGACGAGAAGACCCUAUGGAGCUUUAGACACCAGAAUAGACCACGUUAAGCACCCUAAGUUAAAGAAUAAAACCAAUUGGCCCCUAUUCCAAUGUCUUUGGUUGGGGCGACCGUGGGGAAACAAAAAACCCCCACAUGGACUGAGAACACCAAGUUCCUACAAUCCAGAGCUACAACUCCAAACAACAGAAUUUCUGACCAAAAAGAUCCGGCACAGCCGAUCAACGGACCAAGUUACCCUAGGGAUAACAGCGCAAUCCUCUUUUAGAGACCAUAUCGACAAGAGGGUUUACGACCUCGAUGUUGGAUCAGGACAUCCUAUUGGUGCAA
rnacentral:rRNA from 1 species